rnacentral:rRNA from 1 species
GAUGAACGCUGACAGAAUGCUUAACACAUGCGAGUCGAUGGGGAAGUGGUGCUUGCACCCUGGCAACCAUGGCGGACGGGUGAGUAACGCGUAAGGGACUUACCUGCAGGACUGGGAUAACAGGGGGAAACUCCUGACAAGACCGGAUAAUGUCAUGGAGCUGCAUGGCUUUAUGAUGAAAGGAGACGCUUGCGGAGAGCCUUGCGUCCUAUUAGCUAGUUGGUGAGGUAAUGGCUCACCAAGGCGAAGAUAGGUAGCCGGCCGGAGAGGGUGGACGGCCACGAGGGGACUGAGAUACGGCCCUUACUCCUACGGGAGGCAGCAGUGGGGAAUAUUGGACAAUGGGGGCAACCCUGAUCCAGCAAUUCUGUGUGCACGACGAAGGUUUUCGGAUUGUAAAGUGCUUUCAGCAGGGAAGAAGUAAGUGACGGUACCUGCAGAAGAAGCGACGGCUAAAUACGUG